CGCGCAGGCGGCAGUGCAAGUAAGGUGUGAAAUCUCCCUGCUCAACGGGGAGGGUGCACUUUAGACUGCACAGCUCGAGGUCGGUAGAGGGGGGUGGAAUUGCUGGUGUAGCGGUGAAAUGCGUAGAGAUCAGCAGGAACACCCGUGGCGAAGGCGGCCCCCUGGGCCGUACCUGACGCUGAGGCGCGAAGGCUAGGGGAGCGAACGGGAUUAGAUACCCCGGUAGUCCUAGCAGUAAACGAUGGCCACUAGGUGUGGGGGGUGUUGACCCCUUCCGUGCCGAAGCUAACGCAUUAAGUGGCCCGCCUGGGGAGUACGGUCGCAAGACUAAA
rnacentral:rRNA from 1 species